AACGAACGCUGGCGGCAGGCUUAACACAUGCAAGUCGAGCGCCCCGCAAGGGGAGCGGCAGACGGGUGAGUAACGCGUGGGAAUCUACCCAUCUCUACGGAAUAACGCAUGGAAACGUGUGCUAAUACCGUAUACGUCCUUCGGGAGAAAGAUUUAUCGGAGAUGGAUGAGCCCGCGUUGGAUUAGCUAGUUGGUGGGGUAAAGGCCUACCAAGGCGACGAUCCAUAGCUGGUCUGAGAGGAUGAUCAGCCACACUGGGACUGAGACACGGCCCAGACUCCUACGGGAGGCAGCAGUGGGGAAUAUUGGACAAUGGGCGCAAGCCUGAUCCAGCCAUGCCGCGCGAGUGAUGAAGGCCCUAGGGUUGUAAAGCUCUUUCACCGGUGAAGAUAAUGACGGUAACCGGAGAAGAAGCCCCGGCUAACUUCGUGCCAGCAGCAGCCGUAAUAC
rnacentral:rRNA from 1 species